AGUCCACUACACCAGCAACUUGGAACAUAGCUCUAAAGGAUGGUAAACUCAUGAAGGUGAAAAAAAUCAGACUGCAUCUUUAGUCCUCAAAGUUUAACUUGAAGUGAUUCAGGACAUCUGAUCAGCUGCUUAGCUACUACAGAGAUCAACAAUUCCUUGUAAAAAUGGCAGGAACUACUUCAGGAGCCGUUGGAGGUGGUGGUUUCUUAGGUCGCUGAAGCAAAAGGAAGUAACCACAAGAUUACUACCAAGAAUUUAUGCUGAUUUAUUUUAUACUUACUUGAAGAGGAAAACAAAUCCUGUAAAGCUUUUACUAAUGUAAUAAAGAAAAUGAAAAGCUCCAGCCAACAUGACCCUCGUGUACCAGACAGCAUACUGAAUGAACAUCCAAAGCUAUUUUGGAAAAUACAUAGGCAUUAAAGAAAGAAAUUUCACAGAUUCAACCAGAUUAGUAAACAAGGAUCAUAGAAAAUUCUCUCCUGAUGGUGAAGUUUCUUAGAGACAUACAAGAUGCCAUCUGUUCUCCAUUUUAUAUUCCAGAAUUAUACCAGCUUCUAGUACUGAAGAUGUACAGCUGCUCAAAGAGUGUAAAAUAGUUGUCUAUUUGUAAAAUAGUCAUAUCUGAGGCCUACAACUUAUCCAAGUAUCAGCUGUCUCACCGAAAGUGAUGUGUUUGGGUCAACAUUCAGCUAUGAGAUAGUCUAGGUCUUACUGGGAAAUAUUUUCUACCUUAUGCAGCUGAUGGAGCUUAACUUGGAAAAGUAUUUUCUAAACAAAAAAAAAACAACUCAACCUGGUUUCUCUGCUUGGGGAUAAAUUCCUAUUAAAUAGGACAGAGUUGUUUUCAUGGGAACUAUGUUAUCUGUACAUAUGCUGUACUUUUGAAUAUGUUGUACAUUUACAUUUUAUACUUUCCCAAAAGUAUUCAAAUAUUUCUCUAUGAUUUAAUAUUUCCAUGGCCAAAACAAUGAUAUAAAG